UCGGAAGUAAAAAACGUAACAAGGUUUCCGUAGGUGAACCUGCGGAAGGAUCAUUACCGAGUGCGGGCCCCUCGGGGCCCAACCUCCCCCCGUGUCGCCCGAACCUAUGUUGCCUCGGCGGGCCCCGCGCCCGCCGACGGCCCCCCUGAACGCUGUCUGAAGUUGCAGUCUGAGACCUAUAACGAAAUUAGUUAAAACUUUCAACAACGGAUCUCUUGGUUCCGGCAUCGAUGAAGAACGCAGCGAAAUGCGAUAACUAAUGUGAAUUGCAGAAUUCAGUGAAUCAUCGAGUCUUUGAACGCACAUUGCGCCCUCUGGUAUUCCGGAGGGCAUGCCUGUCCGAGCGUCAUUGCUGCCCUCAAGCCCGGCUUGUGUGUUGGGCCCCGUCCCCCCCGCCGGGGGGACGGGCCCGAAAGGCAGCGGCGGCACCGCGUCCGGUCCUCGAGCGUAUGGGGCUUCGUCACCCGCUCUAGUAGGCCCGGCCGGCGCCAGCCGACCCCCAACCUUUAAUUAUCUCAGGUGACCUCGAUCACGGAGGUCACCUCACCCC
rnacentral:rRNA from 1 species